rnacentral:rRNA from 1 species
CUCUUGGUCUCGCUGAAUGUGGCGUUUGGGAGAGUCUUAUCGCGGCGUGGACGGCCAGUCAAAGUCCAACUUGACAGUGGCCAUGGCCCGUAGAGGGUGAUAGGCCCGUAAGACGGCUGUCUCACUGCGCUGACUUUUCCCUAGAGUCGGAUUGCUUGGGAGUGCAGUCCAAAGUGCGAGGUAAACUCCUCGUAAGGCUAAAUAUGACCCCGAGUCCGAUAGCAAACAAGUACCGUGAGGGAAAAUUGAAAAGAACUUUGAAGAGAGAGUUCAAGAGUACGUGAAACCGUCUAGCGGUAAAGAGAGGGGUUCUCGAAGUUUCUGAGGGGGACUCAACCUUGGUGGUGCUUGGCCUGGGCGUAUUUGAUCAGCAAUGACUUUGCGUUUAGUCCCAUGUGCCUCCCGGACGCACUUUCUCCUCAGUUUACGGCAGGAACCGUUAGAUGUGGACUGAAGGCCCAGGGUGAAGUUGUUGGUUAUGCUGGCAGCCCUUGGUGUCCU